CUUUUUUUUAAUAAAAAAAAAUUUUUUUAAUCUUAAAAUUGUCAGUUACUGUGUUUUGAAAUUGGGCAGCCGAGGAGUUGGACUUGUCUAGUAUGAUUGAGUUGGACUUUUAAUUAAAAUUAUCCCCAUAUUCAUUAAAAAAACAUGAUUAAAAAGAUCAGCGACACAUUCUCUGGUUUAUACAUAGAGAAUCAACACAAUUACGUGCAAAAAAUUGCAAAGUGGUCACUCGCUUGUAUAUUUUAUUAAAUUUUAAUAUAAAUUGGACAUUGCUGGAUUAUUUUCCGCGUCAUAUUAGUUUCAAAUCAAUUACUUAACAUUUGUCAGGUGCACAAAAUUUUUUGACACGUUCAGAUCUGCGCAUUCGAAAUCCGAAGGUAGUAAAUCCUUCAUCCCUGAAAAUAUCCUCAGAUAAUGAUAAGGAAAAGGAAUUUUGAGUCGCUAAAGCUAAAGCAGCUAAGAAGGUACAUAAGAAAU